rnacentral:rRNA from 1 species
AGGACGAACGCUGGCGGCGUGCUUAACACAUGCAAGUCGAGCGGAAAGGCCCUUCGGGGUACUCGAGCGGCGAACGGGUGAGUAACACGUGAGUAAUCUGCCCCUAGCUCUGGGAUAGCUCCGGGAAACCGGGAUUAAUACCAGAUACGACCACUUUAGACAUCUUCUGUGGUGGAAAGAACUUCGGCUAGGGAUGAACUCGCGGCCUAUCAGCUUGUUGGUGAGGUAACGGCUCACCAAGGCGACGACGGGUAGCCGGCCUGAGAGGGCGACCGGCCACACUGGGACUGAGACACGGCCCAGACUCCUACGGGAGGCAGCAGUGGGGAAUAUUGCGCAAUGGGCGAAAGCCUGACGCAGCGACGCCGCGUGGGGAUGAAGGCCUUCGGGUUGUAAACCCCUUUCAGCAGGGACGAAGCGAAAGUGACGGUACCUGCAGAAGAAGCGCCGGCUAACUACGCGCCAGCAGCCGC